GUUUCUAUAGCUCAACGGUAGAGCAUAGUACUGUUAAUACUAUGAUAGAUGUUCGAUUCAUCUUAGAGACU
rnacentral:tRNA from 1 species